rnacentral:pre_miRNA from 1 species
GUGAUACUCCCUCUGUCCCAAAAUUCUUGUCUUAGAUUUGUCAAAAUACAGAUGUAUCAAGUCACGUUUUAGUAUUAGGUACAUCCGUAUCUAGAUAAAUCUAAGACAAGAAUUUUGGAACGGAGGGAGUAUAAU